rnacentral:rRNA from 1 species
UACGAAGGGUGCUAGCGUUGUUCGGAAUCACUGGGCGUAAAGCGCGCGUAGGCGGCUUUUCAAGUCAGGGGUGAAAUCCUUGGGCUUAACCCAAGAACUGCCUUUGAAACUGUAAAGCUGGAGUGUCGGAGGGGAUAGCGGAAUUCCUAAUGUAGUGGUGAAAUACGUAGAUAUUAGGAGGAACACCGGUGGCGAAGGCGGCUAUCUGGACGACAACUGACGCUGAGGCGCGAAAGCGUGGGGAUCAAACAGG